ACACACUCACACUCACAUACACCGCAUACACACAGACACACACACACACCACACACACACUCACAGUACACACACUCAGACACACACAGACACACACACUCACACGCCACACACAUUCACAUCACACACCACACACAGGACUGACAGAGAGGCGGCUGGAAGGGAGACCUGGGGAGGGGACGGAAUCCUGAGGAUGUAAAUCAUGGAAACAAGAGUAUCGACUGCCAGUUCACAUCCAAAGGGCAGGAGGCACUGAAGAGCGCAGGCAGGGCUCCUGGAGCCUGGAGGUGAGGUCAGGCCAUAGGCGAUAUUUUCCCGGAAACUUCUUCCAAAGAGCAGCGGCUCUUGUGCCACUGAGGCCACCUGAGGUGAAGCAUGGAGAGGCACAGACAGGAGACACAGGAGUGCUGUUGUCUGGGGGCUGACGACUCACAAUCCAGUGCCCACCACACGGGUCCUUCUGCGCCGGGCCCCACUCUGCCCUGGCUGCCAGCUUCCCCGAACUCCGCAAGGGCUGUCACUGAGAAUACCCUUGCUCUCCUCGCUCCCGCCCCCCCCCCCCCCCCCCGUGGCACCUCUCCGCCCCUCUCCCCUCCCCCUCCUCACCUGUUGGUGCAGGUAGCGGUGCUCAUACCGGGCCAGGGGCUGGCCGUCCAGCAGCACCCGGCCCCCGGUGGGCUGGAACAGGUUCUGCAGCAGGGCGGCCACCGUGCUCUUCCCCGACCCGUUGGGGCCCACCAGGGCGGUCACCUUCCCCGGAUGCAGCGUGAACGUCACACCCUGGAGGCCAGAGAAGCAGAGGGUGGUAAAAGCAUCCAGAGGCCUCUAGCCUGGAGCCCGGCACUGUCUUACCCAGGAGGAAAACGGAACACACAGCACUCCCCACCCUCUGUGUGUACUUCCGAAGCGGGAGAGAGGGGAGCUGGGCAAUGGACAGCCCAAAAGUGGAGGACAGAGGCUGAGCGUCUUCUCCAGGAACAGAAACUGUGUUCCGCACCACAAAUGGUGGCUGGAGUCGCACGUUGCCAUGCCAACUCCUUGCUUACAGGAGCUUUAUCUUUUUAAAAAAGUUUGUUUUGACUUAUUUAUUUAAUUUUA